GGCACGAUGACUGAGUGGUUAAGGUGUUAGUCUUGAAAACUAAUGGGGAAACCCGCGUAGGUUCGAAUCCUGCUUGUGUCG